rnacentral:tRNA from 2 species
GGGCCCGUAGCUUAGUUUGGUAGAGCGCUCGGCUCAUAACCGAGUGGUCGUGGGUUCAAAUCCCGUCGGGCCCA